rnacentral:tRNA from 1 species
GGGCCUGUAGCUCAGCCAGGUAGAGUGGCUGGCUCUUAAACCUUUAGAGAAACCAGUAAGCCGUGGGUUCAAAUCCCACCAGGCCCG